rfam:Danio rerio chromosome 23, GRCz11 reference primary assembly.
UUCCUCCUCAAUUGUAAGUCACUUUGGACAAAAGUGUCUGCUAAAUGACUGGAU